UACGAAGGAUCCAAGCAUUGUCCGGAUUUACUGGGUUUAAAGGGUGCGUAGGCGGACUUAUAAGUCAGUGGUGAAAGCCUUCAGCUUAACUGAAGAACUGCCAUUGAAACUGUAAGUCUCGAGUUCGGUUGAGGUCAUUGGAAUGUAACAUGUAGCGGUGAAAUGCAUAGAUAUGUUACAGAACACCGAUUGCGAAGGCAGAUGACUAAACCGAAACUGACGCUGAGGCACGAAAGCGUGGGGAUCAAACAGG
rnacentral:rRNA from 1 species